AACGAACGCUGGCGGCAGGCUUAACACAUGCAAGUCGAACGGCAGCGGACCUUCGGGUGCCGGCGAGUGGCGAACGGGUGAGUAAAGUAUCGGAACGUACCUUUCAGUGGGGGAUAACGUAGCGAAAGUUACGCUAAUACCGCAUAUUCUGUGAGCAGGAAAGCAGGGGAUCGCAAGACCUUGCGCUGAUUGAGCGGCCGAUAUCAGAUUAGCUAGUUGGUGAGGUAAAGGCUCACCAAGGCGACGAUCUGUAGCGGGUCUGAGAGGAUGAUCCGCCACACUGGAACUGAGACACGGUCCAGACUCCUACGGGAGGCAGCAGUGGGGAAUUUUGGACAAUGGGGGCAACCCUGAUCCAGCCAUGCCGCGUGAGUGAAGAAGGCCUUCGGGUUGUAAAGCUCUUUCGGCCGGGAAGAAAUCGCUUAGGUUAAUACCCUGAGUGGAUGACGGUACCGGAAUAAGAAGCACCGGCUAACUACGUGCCAGCAGCCGCCGUAAUAC
rnacentral:rRNA from 1 species